rnacentral:rRNA from 1 species
AUGGUGUCCUGCUCGACGACGUCCAUGGUGGAGAAGCUCGCGUCCCUGGAUCCGCUCGCCAAGGCGGCAGGUGGCGUCGCCUGGGAGUUGCUGCCCAUGGUGCAACCAGUGCGGACUCCGUUCACGUCUUGCUCAGGCAGGCGCUGCGGGCUGACGACCGCGCGGAGCUGCUGGGCUGCCUGUACAACAGAGAUGGCAAGGUGGAGUACUUGCUUGAGGUCCAGGUUCAUCCUCUUCUGGUGGAGAACAAUUCAGGUCAAAGUUCAACAUCUUCGUGUUGCUGUUGCUGUUGUUGCUUGA